GACGUAGGGCGCGAGCGUUGUCCGGAUUUAUUGGGCGUAAAGAGCUCGUAGGCGGCUUGUCGCGUCGUCUGUGAAAUCCCGCGGCUCAACCGCGGGUCUGCAGUCGAUACGGGCAGGCUAGAGUUCGGUAGGGGAGACUGGAAUUCCUGGUGUAGCGGUGAAAUGCGCAGAGUAUCAGGAGGAACACCGGUGGCGAAGGCGGUUCUCUGGGCCAAUACUGACGCUGGAGGAAGCGGAAAGCUAGGGGGAGCAAAUGGG
rnacentral:rRNA from 1 species